CAUGCUGGGGCGACACUAUAUGUUCAAAAGAUGACGAUGUCAUCAUCCUUCUUUCAGAGCUGAGAAACAGACAUUAGAGAGCUCCAAUCUCACAGCUCAGGCAUCACACGGAGCAGUCAUGACCCUCUGGACAAAUCUCUUACACAUUCUGAUCUGUUAUUACUGCAUUGGCAGAGGGAUGGAGGACUCUGUUGAUCAGCCAUCAAAUGAUGUAGUCGGUGUAGAGGGUGAAGUAGUGACACUCCACUGUACAUAUGAUGUGACUACAUCAACAUCUCAGUUCUAUUUGUUUUGGUACAAAUUUCAAGCAAACGACGUCCCUCGAUAUAUGCUGCAGAGAUACACUUUCGGAGAUGGGCACAAUAGUGAUGGAUUCAAAGUAAGAUUUAAAGCAGAACUCAACGCCACUGCUAAAUCUGUUCCUCUGACAGUCAUGGAUCUGCAAGUGUCUGACUCUGCUGUGUACUACUGUGCUCUGAGGCCCACAGUGACUGUUGCAGACCACACCGUCAUACAAAAACACACAGGGUAUCCUUUAUUCAUAUCUGUCACAUCAUACUCUCACACAUUAGGUGAUGUGGUUUCUGUCAUAAACUGA